CAGCUCUUCAAGUGGUCGGGAAUAUUAUUGGGCUUAAAGUGUCCGUAGCCGGUUUGGUAAGUUCCUGGUUAAAUCUGGCAGCUUAACUGUCAGUCAGCUAGGAAUACUACUUUACUAGAGGGUGGGAAAGGUUUGAGGUACUCCAGGGGUAGCGGUGAAAUGCGAUAAUCCUUGGGGGACCACCAGUGGCGAAGGCGUCAGACUGGAACACGCCUGACGGUGAGGGACGAAAGCCAGGGGAGCGAACGGGAUUAGAUACCCCAGUAGUCC
rnacentral:rRNA from 1 species